rnacentral:lncRNA from 10 species
GUUUAGACACAAAAAUGUCUUUGUUAAAAAACAAACAAACAAAAAAACUAAAGUGCACUGUAAAAGCAUCACAUGGUCUAGCCUCAUAAUAAUUCUUCCUUUUUGGAGACCCAGGAUUCAGUGUGGGCUCUGCUCAGAACUCAGAAAUCCAGUUAAAAGGACACAAUUGGAAACACUGGUUAUUUUACCAGUGUCUUGACUUGAAUGGGGUACUUUCAGAUACAGACUCCUUUAAGGAAUUAAAGUUAACUUAUACAGCCAAUAAAAGCCCCUGGGGAAAACUGGCAUAAUACCUUGUCUAGGCAGCCCUGUACAGACUCCUGACCUAUGGAUGUGAGACUUCACAACCUUCUAAAAAUGAGUUUUCCUAACAACAUGGGACCUACCCUUCUAGGAAUAAACCAUCCUAGCCAUGAGAAAUCAGAUGAAAACUGGGACCAGAGACUCUUUUUCUUCUAAAAUGCUUUUUCUGAAAGAUUUUAAAAAGAAAAGAAGGGAAAUGUGAAAGGAAAAUAAAAUUUUAGACCCCAACACCACUAAGCUAAAGGGAAAAGUCAAGCUGGGAGCUGCUUAGGGCAAAUCUGCCUCCCAUUCUAUUAAAAGUCAUUCCUCUGCUUACUGAGAUAAAUGCACAUCUGAUUGCUUCCUUUGGAGAGGCCAAUCAGCAACUCAAAAGAAUGUAACCAUUUGUCUCUUAUCUACCUAUGACCUGGAAGACCCCUCCCCACUUUGAGUUGUCCCACCUUUCCAGAUGAAUCCAAUGUACAUCUUAAAUAUAUUAAUUGAUGUCUCAUGUCUCCCUAAAAUGUAUAAAAUGAAGCUGUGCCCAGACCACCUUGGGCACAUAUCAUCAGGGCCCCCUGAGGCUCUGUCACAGGUGCAUUCUUAUCCUUGGCAAAAUAAACUUUUUAAAUUGACUGAGUCCUGUCUUAGAUAUUUUGGGUUAACAGACAAAAUAACCAACUUUGCUUCCAUUCUUAAACAAUACUAAGUUUUGCAGAUACAAAACAUUUGUAAUAGUCAAGUGUUUUUAUAAAUACUAAUAUAUUAUUUAAAGACCUAUAAGCAUCUUAUAUAUUUUAAAAAAUGAUAGUAAUUACUGAGAAAAAGAAAAUAAAAUUACAAAAUUGCAGAUAAUAGAUCAAUAAAGAAACUUUUCAAACCACGAUAAUGUAGUUCAACCUUCUUAUUUUUAAUAUGAGAAACCAAAACACAGGGAGAUUGACUAUUACAGGUUUACAAGGUUUUCUAGCUCCCAGUUUAGUGCUCUUUCUUUUCUGUUAGCUUGCCUUCAAAUUCUAAACGUUUAGAUGUUUUUAAACUAUACAUAUUCUGAGUUAUUCAAUUCAGAAAUAACAGACACAAUUUCUUUAAAAUAACUCCAACAUUUGAAAUCUACAUAUUAUAAGAGACCAGAAUAUGCCAUUCCAAAAUGUGACUGUAGAAGACUGGAAUAUAUCACAUCAAAAUAUGUCUCUUUAGCAUAGGAUUAUGUGCUGAUUAUUUUGAGAAA